rnacentral:rRNA from 1 species
GAUGAACGCUGGCGGCGUGCCUAAUACAUGCAAGUAGAACGCAGUUGCGAACGGGUGAGUAACGCGUAGGUAACUGCCUCAUAGCGGGGGAUAACUAUCGGAAACGAUAGCUAAUACCGCAUACUGUGAGCUGGAUCUGCGUUGUAUUAGGUAGUUGGAGAGGUAAAGGCUCACCAAGGCGACGAUACAUAGCCGACCUGAGAGGGUGGACGGCCAAACUGGGACUGGGACACGGCCCAGACUCCUACGGGAGGCAGCAGUAGGGGAACUUCGGAAAAGGGGGGAAGUCUUGACGCACAACGCCGCGGGAGUGAAGAAGGGUUUCGGGUCGGAAAAGUCUGUUGUGAGAGAAGCGGUAACUGACCAGAAAGGAACGGCUAACUACGUGCCAGCAGCCGCGGUAAUUC